AUUGAACGCUGGCGGCAUGCCUUACACAUGCAAGUCGAACGGUAACAGGUCUUCGGAUGCUGACGAGUGGCGAACGGGUGAGUAAUACAUCGGAACGUGCCUAGUAGUGGGGGAUAACUACUCGAAAGAGUGGCUAAUACCGCAUGAGAUCUACGGAUGAAAGCAGGGGAUCGCAAGACCUUGUGCUACUAGAGCGGCCGAUGGCAGAGUAUGAGGUAGUUGGUGGGAUAAAAGCUUAACAAGCCGACGAUCUGUAGCUGGUCUGAGAGGACGAUCAGCCACACUGGGACUGAGACACGGCCCAGACUCCUACGGGAGGCAGCAGUGGGGAAUUUUGGACAAUGGGCGAAAGCCUGAUCCAGCAAUGCCGCGUGCAGGAUGAAGGCCUUCGGGUUGUAAACUGCUUUUGUACGGAACGAAAAGCCCCGGGUUAAUACCCUGGGGUCAUGACGGUACCGUAAGAAUAAGCACCGGCUAACUACGUGCCAGCAGCCGCCGUAA
rnacentral:rRNA from 1 species